rnacentral:rRNA from 1 species
UUAUCGGAGAGUUUGAUCCUGGCUCAGGACGAACGCUGGCGGCGUGCCUAAUACAUGCAAGUCGAGCGA